rnacentral:rRNA from 1 species
CAAUAGCGUAUAUUAAAGUUGUUGCAGUUAAAAAGCUCGUAGUUGGAUUUCUGUGAGAGUGCCGGUGUCGGCUGAUGCUUGUACGCAGGCGCUCUUACAUCCUUCUGUUAACUGUUCUUGGCAUUUUAUUGCUGGUUCAGGGCUCAGAUAUUUUACCUUGAGAAAAUUAGAGUGUUUCCGGCAGGCUUAUGCCGGAAUACAUUAGCAUGGAAUAAUGGAACAGGACCUGUGCGUCUCUCGGGGCGCCGGUCUCCGUUGUUGGUUUCGGGGACUAAUGUAAUGAUUAAUAGGGAUAGUUGGGGGCAUUAGUAUUUAAUAGUCAGAGGUGAAAUUCUCGGAUUUGUUAAAGACUAACUUAUGCGAAAGCAUUUGCCAAGGAUGUUUUCAUUAA